UACGAGGGGAGCUAGCGUUGUUCGGAAUUACUGGGCGUAAAGGGCGUGUAGGCGGUAUCAUAAGUCAGAUGUGAAAGCCCUAGGCUUAACCUAGGAGGUGCAUUUGAUACUGUGAAACUAGAGAUCGAGAGAGGAAAGUGGAAUUACGAGUGUAGAGGUGAAAUUCGUAGAUAUUCGUAAGAACACCAGUGGCGAAGGCGACUUUCUGGCUCGAUACUGACGCUAAGGCGUGAAAGCGUGGGGAGCACACAGG
rnacentral:rRNA from 1 species